AGUGGCCUAACACAAUCAACUAAGGUUAAUAGGUACAUGUUGGGGGGAUUGGGUUGGGUGAUUCGUACCCUCUAUACUGUGGGACGUCUAAGUCAACAUAAUGAACAAUAUGACUUCACACUUUCGCUCCGUCCUGCCCAGCUGCAUGUUUCAUGGCUCCUGCUAGAGUGUUGUGGCAGAUGAAUUCGCGAAACUAUCAGUCCAACCACGACCAAUCCCACCAUUUCAAGAGACUGGUUCUAUCCCAGACAGAAAGAUAGCCGCAGCAAACUGACACAAGAGUGGAUGAAGGAAUAGACAUCGACUGAAAGAGAUACCGCCUUCGCAACAUCGACUCGACACUGCAUUAUAUAUGGUUGGUGUUGAGAUAUCAAUAGCCGCUCAAGAAAAAAAGCAAUGCGGUGUUUAGCCGGCGGCCGAAUAUGUCUUUCUUCCCUACUAUUCUAAUCUCCCAUCCGUGGCAUUUUUGACUCGAAACAGCCCAAGAGAUCCAACCUACCUGGAGGGUUAGCCGCGUUAUUGGCUUCAUGACGGGUGGUGUGCAGACAACUGUUGAAGAUUGCCCCACUGCCACAUUACUAGCGAACAAGCUCCAAAGGCCAGAGCAAGGCUAUCAUUUGACUAUUAUCCUCGAUGGAGGAUGCCUUGUUCCUAGAUCGCCAGCAUAGCAACUAUGAAGAUUAGAUGGCUAUUGACCAGCACAGCGACUACACAGCUGCCAAUUAGAUAUCGACAUCUUGAUAUCUCUGAUGUUGUCAAUGCGCGGCAUCCGCGCCCAGCUCGCAAUUAGAAAGAUGGGAAUUGUUUACUCCGAUGGGAUCAGGCAUUGAGAGCUCUUUGUGCUCCCAAUAUCUUCUGACAGACGGAACUUUGCAUUCAAAAGUCGUGAAUUAUUAUUUAUUUACAUGAUUAGAUAUAACCGAAAAUUAGAGCCAUUGACGCAUGAUUAAGUUUUCAUUUCAACACUCCCGAAUCAUGGGAAAUUUUGCAAAAUUCAUAACCCCAGGGCCUUCAGAAUCUCCGUCCCCACAGCGGUGGCACUAGCUGGGUUCUGUCCAGUGAUCAAAGGAGCGCCAGUCGCAGCCACUUUGGCAACGACGACUUUCUCCCCCCAAGGCAAAUCAGCCUUUACGUAUCCACCAUUUGAUAUUUUAUUCAUCUCGGUUUCAAGUGCAUAUGGCAGGUAUUGGGACAUUUUGACCUGAUCCUCCUCCUCGUUCGAAAAUCCGGUCGCCUGUGCUUCCGCAAGUACAGGCUUCCCACCAGCAGUUGCCUUUAGAAAGACAGCAGGGCCAUGGCACACGGCGGAUACAACUUUCCGCGCUUCCGCAAAUUCCUUAAUUAGGCGGAGGGAGUCUGCAUCUUCAUAUAGAUCAAAUAGGGCUAAGUAUUUGGGAAACCAAUAUUAGUUGGCCUAUAGGUCGAGAAUGAAACCAGACGAAACAGACAGGGAAAACGAAAGGAAGGCUGGGAAGGAAACAUGGAAGACUUACGUCCAUGACCACCAACAUAGAAGAUGGCAUCGAAAUCGCUGGAUUUGACAUCGGAGAGCUUCACAGUGUUGUGCCAGAUACUCUCGUUUUCCUUCAGAAAAGCGGAAGAUACAGCAUCGCCGGCGAAGGCCGUGACAGAGGCAGGAUCUAGAGGAGCUGGCCCUCCUUUUGGAGAGGCAAUGACGAGAUCGACCUUUCCCUUGAGAACCUCGUAGGGAUGAGCUAAUUCGGGCUGUUAAAAGAGGUCAGAAUUGAAUCAUUGCAUAUCGAAAAGAGGGGCCCAUACCAAGUACCAACCGGUAGGAUUACCAGUGGCAGGAAUUUUGUCCUGCGAUGUGAGAACGAAGAGCACUUUUGGGGCCAUUUUGAACAAGUUGUGUGCGGGUUUGCGGAGGGGACUGUUGAUUGUAGAAGAAUCGAGGUUUGAGA
rnacentral:sRNA from 2 species